rnacentral:rRNA from 1 species
GUAACGGCGAGUGAAGCGGCAAAAGCUCAAAUUUGAAAUCUAGCACCUUCGGUGUUCGAGUUGUAAUUUGAAGAUGGUAACCUUGGGUUUGGCUCUUGUCUAUGUUCCUUGGAACAGGACGUCAUAGAGGGUGAGAAUCCCGUCUGAUGAGAUGCCCAUUCCUAUGUAAGGUGCUAUCGAAGAGUCGAGUUGUUUGGGAAUGCAGCUCUAAGUGGGUGGUAAAUUCCAUCUAAAGCUAAAUAUUGGCGAGAGACCGAUAGCGAACAAGUACAGUGAUGGAAAGAUGAAAAGAACUUUGAAAAGAGAGUGAAAAAGUACGUGAAAUUGUUGAAAGGGAAGGGCAUUAGAUCAGACUUGGUGUUUUACGAUUAUCUUCUCUUCUUGAGUUGUGCACUCGUAUUUCACUGGGCCAGCAUCGAUUCGGAUGGCAAGAUAAUGGCAGUUGAAUGUGGCUUCACUUCGGUGGAGUGUUAUAGCUUCUGCUGAUAUUGCCUGUCUGGAUCGAGGGCUGCGUCUUUUGACUAGGAUGCUGGCGUAAUGAUCUAAUGCCGCCCGUCUUGA